rnacentral:rRNA from 1 species
GAGCCAGACUCCUACGGGAGGCAGCAGUGGGGAAUAUUGCACAAUGGGGGGAACCCUGAUGCAGCAAUGCCGCGUGAAGGAUGAAGGUUUUCGGAUUGUAAACUUCUUUUGUACGGGACGAAGAAAGUGACGGUACCGUAAGAAUAAGCCGCGGCUAACUACGUGCCAGCAGCCGCGGUAAUACGUAGGUGGCAAGCGUUAUCCGGAUUUAUUGGGUUUAAAGGGUGCGUAGGCGGACGCUUAAGUCAGCGGUAAAAUUGCGGGGCUCAACCUCGUCGAGCCGUUGAAACUGGGUGCCUUGAGUGGGCGAGAAGUACGCGGAAUGCGUGGUGUAGCGGUGAAAUGCAUAGAUAUCACGCAGAACUCCGAUUGCGAAGGCAGCGUACCGGCGCCCAACUGACGCUGAAGCACGAAGGCGUGGGUAUCGAACAGGAUCAGAUACCCGUGUACA